rnacentral:misc_RNA from 1 species
UUUUUUUUUUUUUGAAAGGAAAACUAAAACAUAAGGGGAUGCAUUCUGAAAACAAAAUCAUUCUGAAUGUGCAUGACCUCCUGUAAAUGGCAAUGCCUGGUGUGUAAAGGAAGAGGAACUAUGUCUUUGGUAACAAACGAGGAACAAACUUGGUUCUCUGGUUAAUUUACAAGGUCGAUCGUUGGUGCUUUAUAAGGCAGCAUGUUAUUGAAACAUUAGAUCCCUGUUUUAUCAUUUUCACUUUUUUUUUCUUUUGGCUUCCGAUUUUAGUUCGGCAGCAUUGUGGACAAAUUUUUUUUUUACCUGUCAUUGACAAAAAGCCACAAAAUGCA